CCCCUAGAAUAAAUUAGUAAGGAAAAAGUUGACUUUUUGACCGGGAGGGAAUUUGGGAUUUUCACUUGUACCGUUGCGUGGAGCGCGACGAAACGAGUCCAUAGACACGUAGUGGGCUCGAAUUGGAGUUAUAAUGAAGGAAAUAUGAUUAAAUUACAUUCAUGGGCAAAACUGUAAUUUGCCAGAAAAUGAGAUUUUAAAAAUCUGACUCUAUUUGUUUUUU
rnacentral:lncRNA from 1 species